CGUGCGCGUACCCAAGUUUGGCACGUGCCCUCUGCCAGAGGCUUGCAGCGAUAUCGGCGCCGAUUUCCUGGGGGCCCUUCACCCACUGUGUGAUGCGACACUAGAGUGUUUGAGGAAGGCCGCAACGACAUCGACAGCGACAACGUUGGCCCUCGUCAUCGGAACGUGCAUCCCUGUCUGCGUGGUUUGUGCCGGGCAUGUAUCCAAGUCUGGCACGUGCCCUCUUCCAGAGGCUUGCAGCGAUAUCGGCGCUGAUUUCCUGGGACCCCCUCAUCCACUGUGUGAUGCCACACUAGAGCGUUUGAGGAAGGCCGCAACGACAUCGACAGUGACAACGGUGGACUACAUAAGCUCGUCCUCGAAGCAUCACCUGUUCAGUGGGCAUGGGAUGGCAGCAGCCAUCCACUGAAACCACUUAAAACCACUAAAAACCACUUCUGUCUUUUCACCCAGGUUGGUUGUUAUUCUAUUCACUGUAGAAGAUGUAAUAACGUAUGUUUGCUGCUACUCCCACGCCCACACAUUUUAAUGGUUACAGCUGGUGAAUGUGUUCAUGUUGUGAAAUUGCUUUUAUUAGGAGGUGACGUUGAACUGAAUCCUGGUCCCCCAAAGCCAGACCCCAAAGUAGAGGAUAAUGCAGUCCUAUUAGCUAUAGGUCGCCUAACGGAGCACCUCGAUGAGCGGCACGACAAUCUUCUAGCAUCCAUUGAUGUAGUCAAAAAUAACCAAAAAGUUCUUGAUAACAAAGUGUCUGACCUUACAACACGUUUAGCAAACCUUGAAGACAAGGUGAACGCUUUUGAAAACGUAUCCGAGGGAUCGCGUUUGGAUUGUUCAGCUUGGAUUGCGUCAGCGGUUCGUAGUGAGAAUGCUGCUCUUCGCGCACGACUUGACUACGAAAACCGAUCGCGACGAGACAACUUAAUCUUCCACGGAAUUACUGAUGCUGCAGCCGAAACAUGGUCAGACACAGAAGAAAAGGUUAGGGCAAUUCUUUCAAGUUCUUUCGAGAAGCAGCUUUCAGAUGACGCGAUAUCUCGAGCCCACAGACUAGGAGCAUUUGUACCAAACAAGUGCCGCCCUGUUGUCGUACGGUUUGCGUCAUUCAAAGUUAGAGAUAACAUCUUUUCCCAAAAAGCAAAGUUGCGUGGUACGAACAUUACCAUUAACAAAGAUUUCUGUAAAGCCACAUGGACAGCCAGAAAAAAACUAACUGAUUUCGGUGAAGCCAGCGGUCAAAAGUAUUUAGUAAAAUACAACAAGGUUAUUAUUAACAAGAAAAGUUAUGUGUACCGCCCAGUCACUGAUCGUGUCUUGUCUGUUGUUCCAGUUGACGAUAACAACGAAAACGACACUAACCUAAGUCCUCCUAGCUCGUCGGUCCAAGCGUCUUCGUAGCAAAAAACAAAUCCACGACGUGGUACUGUCAAA